GCCCCUGCUGCUUACGUUGGUUUAAGCGCCGGCCUUAUACUCCGGUGAAAGCACGCGCCAGAUAAGCGCGGCCACGUCGGUUCGAUUCCGACCAGGGGCUCCA
rnacentral:tRNA from 1 species